GACGAACGCUGGCGGCGUGCUUAACACAUGCAAGUCGAACGAAGAGCGAUGGAAGCUUGCUUCUAUCAAUCUUAGUGGCGAACGGGUGAGUAACGCGUAAUCAACCUGCCCUUCAGAGGGGGACAACAGUUGGAAACGACUGCUAAUACCGCAUACGAUCUGACCUCGGCAUCGAGGAUAGAUGAAAGGUGGCCUCUACAUGUAAGCUAUCACUGAAGGAGGGGAUUGCGGCUGAUUAGCUAGUUGGCGGGGUAACGGCCCACCAAGGCGAUGAUCAGUAGCCGGACGGAGAGGAUGAACGGCCCCAUUGGGACUGGGACACGGCCCAGAAUGCUUCGGGAGGGAGCAAGGGGGAAUCUUGCGGAAUGGACGAAAGUCUGACGGAGCAACGCCGCGGGAGUGAUGACGGCCGUCGGGUUGUGAAGCUCUGUUAAUCGGGACGAAAGGCCUUUUUGCGAAUAGUGAGAAGGAUUGACGGUACCGGAAGAGAAAGCCACGGCUAACUACGUG
rnacentral:rRNA from 1 species